CCUAACACAUGCAAGUCGAGCGGUAACAGAAAGAAAGCUUGCUUUCUUUGCUGACGAGCGGCGGACGGGUGAGUAAUGCCUGGGAAUAUGCCUUAGUGUGGGGGAUAACUAUUGGAAACGAUAGCUAAUACCGCAUAACGUCCUUGUUCAUUACGAGCGGGACCAAAGAGGGGGACCUUCGGGCCUCUCGCGCUAAGAUUAGCCCAGGUGGGAUUAGCUAGUUGGUGAGGUAAAGGCUCACCAAGGCAACGAUCCCUAGCUGGUCUGAGAGGAUGAUCAGCCACACUGGAACUGAGACACGGUCCAGACUCCUACGGGAGGCAGCAGUGGGGAAUAUUGCACAAUGGGGGAAACCCUGAUGCAGCCAUGCCGCGUGUAUGAAGAAGGCCUUCGGGUUGUAAAGUACUUUCAGUCGUGAGGAAGGCAUUGUAGUUAAUAGCUGCAGUGCUUGACGUUAGCGACAGAAGAAGCACCGGCUAACUCCGUG
rnacentral:rRNA from 1 species